rnacentral:rRNA from 1 species
UACGAAGGGGGCGAGCGUUGUUCGGAAUUACUGGGCGUAAAGUGUGCGCAGGCGGCCGAGCAAGUCGAGUGUGAAAGCCCCGAGCUUAACUUGGGAACUGCGCUCGAAACUACUUGGCUAGAGUGUGGCAGAGGGAGGUGGAAUUCCACGUGUAGCGGUGAAAUGCGUAGAGAUGUGGAGGAACACCGAUGGCGAAGGCAGCCUCCUGGGCCAACACUGACGCUCAUGCACGAAAGCGUGGGGAGCAAACAGG